AACAGCUAGCAUCUCUGGUCGUUUCAUCAUCGGUCGAAUCAUCUGUUGAUUCAUAUUCAUAUUCACGGAAAGUCCUUCUGAAACCUUUGCCAUUUGUUCUGUGCAGUCGGCCUUUGUCCACUGAUCUUCAGAAUUCAUGUUCUGUUGAACCCUCAGAUGACAACAACAGCAAUAACAACAACAAACCCUGUGUAGUCCACAAGUGGGGUCUGGGGAGGGUAAAGUGUACGCAGACCUUACCUCUACCUUUAAAAGGCAAAGAGGUUGUUUCUGGUAGACCUUCGGCUCAAGGAGGGCGUUGAACCCUCAGAUGUCCUUGAAACCCGUGGAAUUUUAAUGUUUACCGGUGUGUAAUCACAUAUGAAGUCAAUACAUAGCAGAAGCUAGAGAAUAAUCUUUCAAGGUUAGCUAUGAAAAUUUAUGAUGAAAAUGUGCAUGAAGUGGACACAUAAAUUUCUUAGAAUAGUGAACUUUGAAUUUGGAAUGUGCCUUCA